AGUGAACGCUGGCGGCAGGCCUAACACAUGCAAGUCGAACGGCAGCACAGUAAGAGCUUGCUCCUACGGGUGGCGAGUGGCGGACGGGUGAGGAAUACAUCGGAAUCUACUUUUUCGUGGGGGAUAACGUAGGGAAACUUACGCUAAUACCGCAUACGACCUACGGGUGAAAGCAGGGGAUCUUCGCACCUUGCGCGAUUGAAUGAGCCGAUGUCGGAUUAGCUAGUUGGCGGGGUAAAGGCCCACCAAGGCGACGAUCCGUAGCUGGUCUGAGAGGAUGAUCAGCCACACUGGAACUGAGACACGGUCCAGACUCCUACGGGAGGCAGCAGUGGGGAAUAUUGGACAAUGGGCGCAAGCCUGAUCCAGCCAUACCGCGUGGGUGAAGAAGGCCUUCGGGUUGUAAAGCCCUUUUGUUGGGAAAGAAAAGCAGCAGGUUAAUACCCCGCUGUUCUGACGGUACCCAAAGAAUAAGCACCGGCCAACUUCGUG
rnacentral:rRNA from 1 species